GCAUGGACUUCUGAACACAUGAGAAGUUUGAACUUCUACUACAGUAGUCCUCUGGCUGUUCUGUAAACGUCCCUGACCAUCAGGUAUAUACUGACAUAAUCACACAGAGCCAGUGUGGAGCAAUGACCAGAGUUCACUUUGAAGUAUGGGCUUGUUACUUUCGCUCAGCCUAACCUCUCACAGGACUAUCAUGGCUGAAAUGCUAGUGUGUUCCACAGAGGAAGAGUAGAUUCAUAAAUGUGAUUAUUACUUUUGGCAUAGGGCCAUUGUAAUAUCAGACAGUUUGUGCAUACUGUAUGUUCUUCAGAUUUUGCAGCAAUUACUCCAGAGGAGAUACAGCAAGACUUUUUAAAGAUCCGACAAUCUCUAGUACCUACUUAAUGUAUGAAUAAUCACUAAUAACUGCAAAUAGUAUUUCUCUAGAGCUUUUAACUUCACUAACAGUACAGUACCUAGCAAUGAUGUGUCUCAGUUUUCCAGACAAAAUGUUCAGUCUUAUCUUUUUUGUGUUUGUUCUGUUAGAGACUGCUGUUUGAGUGCCUUCAGAAAGUGUCUUGAAGAUAGCUACUCAUGUCUAUUCAUUAAUCCAUGCUGAUUGGAAUGGGGUGGAGGCAGGUUCGAGACAGCUAUGAAGGCAAAUCCAGACUGAGCUCAUUCCUUCUUUCAGUGGCAGGGCCCUCUCUGUUGGCUUCCUGGCUGUGAUGUUCGGCGAGUCAAAAGCUGAAUUUGCUGCUCUAGCAUGUAGGAAGAGGCAUGCCUCUCUUUCCUCCAGGUGUAAGAGUUCACUUUUACUACACCUGGUUGAAUAAUCCCUUUAGCUUUAUCCAUGAAAAUACUUUGCACAUAGUUUGUGGAUUUUGGCCAUACAUAUGUACUGCCAACAGGAUCCCACGUGUUCUAACUCUUGUGCACCUGAGAAUGCACAUUUCAGUGAGGCCACAAUGUGCCUGAAACUCUCUUGGGUAAUGGAACAAAGAAUAAUGUAAGAUGCUGAAAGGAUAUUGAGUGGUCUGAACGAUUUUCUGCACACUGCUUCUCCAAAUAGUCAUCAACAAAACUAUGUUUCCUUAUGCAAUAUCUGGGAAUCGAUGCAAAAGGUCACAAACUGCGUAUAAAAGAGACAAAGCAUUUUACGAAAGAGGAAACAAACAAAAUAAUAAUCUCAUCAUUUAAAUGGAGAAUUUUAAUUGCUUCCCAACUGAAUAAAAUAUUGAGCAGCAGUGGCAUUACGCGUGCCUGUUUUUUAAAAAAAAUUAGUCAUUUUCAGAUAGAAGGCAGAAGAUUGUGGUCACAAGGAACAAUCUUGAUUUCUGCAUUUUGCUGUGCUGCCUGUGAGACCCUUGUUCUUUGACAAUGAUAGCUGUCUGGCAUGCAAAGGUAUAAUUUUAUAUUGUGCUCUGUCAAAAUAACUAGAUUGGUUUUGUAUUCCCAGAAAGGGCAAAAGGAAAGAAUUGACUUGAAUGGCAAAAAAGAAAGGAAGGGCUGUCCCAAAGUGGUCUGCUUUUUGUUGUUGUUUUAGCCUUCCCCUCCAAUAUGUGGCUCUUUUAGGGUACUAUUCUGUCAUCUAUUCUCUCCUAUUAACCUACACUAGACCGUAGUAUAUAAGGGAGACUAUAAGCUUGUUUUGGAUAGUGGUCCUAUUUAUGGCAUUUUCUUUUGCUAUGAGGUUGGACUGGCCAGAAUUAGUUGUGACCUCUAAUAAGAAAUACUCUCAUUUGUGAUUUCUGUUGUACUUUCAAUGUACAGAACACUUGAUGCCAUCAUUGUAUAUGUACCCUCUGAGACAGGUCAAAAUGAAUAGCCGUCUGGGACAUACAGUGCUGGUUGUUUGGCUAACAUUAGUAAUGGCUGAAGUGGAUCACAGGGUAUUCACCAACAGAGCUUCUUUCUGCAUGGAGAGCUUCGUGGCUACCUUGUGGGAGAUAUUAGCUGUUGAGGGAGGAGGACUUGUUUAACCAAUACAGUCAGUGGGUGAAGUUACGCCCUUUUUUGUACUCUGGACUGAAUGGCCUUACAACCCUGCACAAUCCUUAGACCAGAGCUUUCCAAUCUUUUCAUGCCAGUGACACACUUUUUAAAUACGCAUCAUUUCAUGACACAGUAAUUCAGUUUUACUAGCAAACCAGAAGCUAAACUAACCCCUUUCACAUAAGGCACCUACACACUGCAGCUGACACACUAAUGUGUCACAACACAUAGUUUGGAAAGCUCUGCUUUAGAUGAUAGAACGUAAUAUUUCACUUACUUCAGAAUACAGUGGUACCUCAGGUUACAUACGCUUCAGGUUACAGACUCCACUAACCCAGAAAUAGUGCUUCAGGUUAAGAACUUUGCUUCAGGAUGAGAACAGAAAUCAUGCUCCGGCGGCAGCAGGAGGCCCCAUUAGCUAAAGUUGGUGCUUCAGGUUAAGAACAGUUUCAGGUUAAGAACGGACCUCUGGAACGAAUUAAAUACUUAACCUGAGGUACCACUGUAUGGUAACCCAGCCCUGCUGUUUAGGGGGCCUUUCUGUUCAUUCUGUUGAGACUGGGGACCUCUGCUACAAAGCCCUGCCCAUAUGGCAUCAGCUGACCCAAUACAACAUUUUCCAUAUUUUGGGAGGGCAGGAACCUGAAACAUUAAUUACUGCUAGAGACAAUGCAUGGCUCAUUGACUGCACCAGCAGUGUAGUGGAAAGACAUUCGUACAUAUGGACUUGUGGAAACAAGCGAUCAGUCAAAAGCAAAGCCAGAACAAAAGAAGAGCCUAAGAGUGAUAUUGUAAACCAAUAUGCCUUAUGCUGAAGAUUACAACCAUUAUUAUGACAAAGACGAAAAAGUACAUGAGUGUGUACGUACGUAUGUAUUGUAUGUGUGUGUGCAUGAGCAUGUGUGUGUGCAUGCCAGUGUUUGUUUUGGUGAGGGCCUUCCCAUCUAGGAAAAAUUACAUACCUGAGUUUUUCCAGUACUAGUUGUCAUGGAAACAGAAUGAGUUUUACUGUAGGGUGCUUGCUGUGCUAUGGAAUAGGUUCUUUGUGCAUUCUAAUUGUAGGAGUUCAUUAAUAAUAACAUCUCUUACAUAACCUUAGCCCUGCUAAUAUCCCCAACCUAUUAUUACAAAAGGUGAACAGAGUUAUGUAAUGUGCAGGGUGCAUUGGACUCUCAAGAGCGAGCCAAUCUGAAGCCCUUUCUAGCUCCAAUAACUAUGUAAUGGAGUUUUAUGUACCUCAAAGCAAUUAUUUAGCAGUACUGUACAGUGAGGCUUCCAAAUCCAUAGUGACUUUUUCAAUGGCAACCAAAUGCCUACAGCAGUGAAUUGACUUAGAUCCCCUUCCCAUCAAGCUUAAUAUUCCAGAACCCUGGCUUAGAGCUUUGGAGACUUUGGAGACUUUGAUUUAGAUAUUAAUGAGUAACCCACAUGGCCACUUGCAAAAUCCAUUUAGUUCCAAAAAAAGUCUAUUCCAGGCUCUGUACUGGACCUAGACAUCAGGUAUUCAGAGGUAAAUAGAUAACUACGCUGCAUCCGAAGUGAGCUGCAAGAUACAUUUUUCCCCUGUUAAAUUUGACCUAUUAAGCAUCUAACCUCUGGGUUUCUUCCUUGAUUUUUAUUACCAUAUACACUCAAAUUCUAAAAUGUGUGUCCGUUUUAGUAGACUAAAGAUGUUUAGUCUGAGAAAGAGGUUAGAUUAUACCGAACUGGUAUAAAACUGAGGCACAUCUAUUAUGGCAUUGUGGAGAAAGAUAAAGUUUAGGAGCUCAGAUAACUCUUUGGUUUUUUUUAACCAAGUCAAGCUAUUUCUCCAUUUUCUGCUUCAGCUAGUCAGGGAUAAGGCUCUUUCGGUAGAUCCUAGUUCUUAUUUCUGGUUCCUAGUUCCUUACUGAAUAGUUUCUGCUUUCUUAUUUAAGAUCCAUCCUACACACAUUAGCAAUGAAAUCAAUUAUUUGGGCUGCAAUCAUACUUGGGAGUUUGAACACUGAGACUUAUUUCUGUUUCAACAUGAAUAGGAUUUACUCUACAUGGCAUCCAGAAUCAGACAGAAAUGGAUUUAGAUGCAGCCUGUAUAUAAAAAAACCCCUCAGGAUUUCAGCAACUCUGGGCCCCAAAUAAUGUUCAGGCCACUCCAAUCCAUGGCAUCACAACACUGUCCAACAUGAACUGCUCUGGUAUGCCUAACCCAAAGCUUAAUCUAGGGACAAACCUAGGCACAAGAUCUCCCUUGGUGAGCCACUAAGCAAAGCAAAUUCAGAACACUAUACUGUAAAAAUUUAUUAUAUAAUCUGGCCAUUAGAGGGAGCUUCAAUGGUUUUUUAUGAAUGGAACCAAACAACUUUCCUGGUUUGCUUGUGCUUCCACCAAGGCUGCAUACUUAUUGAAGCAACCAUAUGCAGACCAUUGUAGAUAAAUUAGAUUUCAGAAUACUAAACUACCUCUGACACUGGCAUUUACUUUACGAAACCUCAUUCCCCAAAAAAUCAGCAGGCUCAAAAGAACCAGUACUUUAUUUCGAUGGAUGCCUAUCUCAAGUGUGCAAACUGUAUUCUCCCAGUAAGUUCUAUAGUAUAUGAGCAAUGUUAAAUCUUUUGCAAAAAUUCAAAGGGGAUAAAUAUUUAUUAUAAUCCAUGUUUGUGAAUUAGUCUUUCUAUCCACAUUCUGCUCCUUUAAUUGGGUUUGGCCUGCCUUUUUAUUUAUUUAGAAAAUCCAAUCCCAAUUUUUCAAGUGUUUCUUCAUUACUCCUGCUUAUGACCAUAUUCCCAAGAGAAAUUUAGAAAAUACCUGGGGAGGCAGACUUACCUUUGUGACACUGGCAACAAUCAAUCUUCUCACACCUAUUUGCAUAAUUACAAGCCCUAUUGCCAGCCAUGGACACGGGUGGCGCUGUGGGUUAAACCACAGAGCCUAGGACUUGCUGAUCAGAAGGUCGGCGGUUUGAAUCCCCGCGACGGGGUGAGCUCCCGUUGCUCAGUCCCAGCUCCUGCCAACCUAGCAGUUCGGAAGCACAUCAAAGUGCAAGUAGAUAUAAUAAGUACCGCUCCGGCAGGAAGGUAAACGGCAUUUCCGUGUGCUGCUCUGGUUCACCAGAAGCGGCUUAGUCAUGCUGGCCACAUGACCCAGAAGCUGUAUGCCGGCUCCCUUGGCCAAUAAAGCGAGAUGAGCACCGCAACCCCAGAGUCGGUCACGACUGGACCUAAUGGUUAGGGGUCCCUUUACCUUUUUAUUGCCAGCCAUGCAAUACAGUUAGAUCAAAUGGUUGCCUAGCAACUGAUUGGCCCUCAGUGCUAAUUAACCUCACGUAGUUGAGGCCCUUGACUAUUUGUGCUGCACUGAGGUGCCCACCCUUCACCCCUGACAUUCAAAGGGGACAAUUAAUAGCAUUGGGAACAUAAAAAGCUCCCUUAUUCCAGGCUACACAACACCUCCAUCUAACCCCAGGGUACGUGGGGAACCUUCCACUUGAGGGCUGCAUUCCCUUCUGUAGAGACAUGCAAAAUAAAGUUUAUACACAUCUAAAUCCAAUAUUGUGGACUGUCAUUUCACUACCUGAAAACUCUCCACACAAUACAGUAUCUUUUAUUUUAGCUGUAUGUCUAGGGGAGCUAACCCAUGUCCCUUUGGAUGUUGUUAGAAUCCAACUUCCACGACCCCUGUAACUAUAUUAAAAAUGGUAAAGGUAAACGACCCCUGACAGUUAAGUCCAGUUGCAGACGACUCUGCGGUUGCAACGCUCAUCUCACUUUACAGACCGAGGGAGGUGGCGUUCGUCUGCAGUUUUUCUUAGUCAUGUGGCCAGCAUGACUAAGCCGCUUCUGGCGAAACCAGAGCAGCGCACGGAAACGCUGUUUACCUUCCUGCCGGAGCAGUACCUAUUUAUCUACUUGCACUUUUUGGCUUGCUUUCGAACUGCUAGGUUGGCAGGAGCUGGGACAGAGCAAUGGGAGCUCACCCCCUCAUGGGGAUUCGAACCGCCGACCUUCCGAUUGGAAUGCCCAAGAGGCUCAGUGGUUUAAACCACAGCGCCACCUGCAUCCAUGUAACUAUAUUGGGCACCUAAUUAAUUGCUGGGGUGUCGGAAGGGAUAGUACCUUUGGUGGGGGACAGUUCAUGCUCCUUCUGAGGUAGUUUGCCCACUACCCAGCUCUCCCCAGUGGCUCCUAGAAGCUGUCAGCAUGUGACAGCAGCCACACCCUAGGAAACUGCUUCAAUUGGCCGGCUAAAGAGGCAAGGGUAACCGAUGAGUCUCAAACCCUUGGUGAGUUAGGGACAGCCUCUCCUCUGCAUGUGAAGACAGACUCCAGUGGAUCACACAGAUGAGACCAAUAGUUGGUCCAGUGGUCAAGAAGGCGGUUUCUGAAUGUGCUGUAGAGGGAGGUGAGCGGCAGAUGGGGCUUGGCAACCCAGGUAGGUAGCCCAUCUAGAAGGAAAGCUGAUCCUAAACCUCUGCUGCCUUGUGGGGUAUCUUCAGGAAAAUAAAAAGCCAAGGACUAAACCCUACACAAAUCCAGAGGAGUUGCUAAGACGGCUGGAUGGCACCUUGUACGUCUCCUUCCAGCAAAUCCUGCAGCCAAGCUGGUGCCAAACAUAUUGCUCUGCUUUCCUUUGGAGCACAUCAGCAAGGUCGAGAGGGAGGUCCUGUCUUCUGGACAGCCCAGGACCUCUAUACACACUGACUGCCAAGGCUUUCACCCUUGCAAGGUCACUGCUGACAACGCAGCAGUUUGACUUCACCCCCAGAGGCACACUCCAUUAUCUCGAGACAGACAGAUGCCAACAGCAAUUAACUGCAAGCCACAAAAUGCUUGCCUCUCACGGAAGGGGAUUUUUUUUUAACUUGAGAGGAAUAAUAGAUUUAGAGCAAAGAAGUAACAGAGCUUCUAAAUGCUGCAAGCUACUUAUAAAUGGACUAAGGAGCUUAUUCAGUCAUUGUAUCUCCACAAGCUCAUUAGCUUGUUGCUGUAGUAGUCCGUGCUGUGGUUUAAGGCAGUUAAGGCAGGUUCCCAGGCACUCCCUGCUCAAAUAUAUAAGGAAAUAGUUGUAGGAAUCAGGUAGCUGGGAUGAAAAAAACAAAACAGGAUUCUAGAGAGAUUUGGGUAAUCCUUUAAGAAAUCGGAUGAAGAGUAAAGUCUUAUGAAAUCCAAACCAAAGCUGGCAUAACCAUAGAGACGCAAUUCAUGGGCAACUUGUACGCUGCUGCUUAAAAGUCAAACUAGGUGGGUUCUUGAUUCACAUGAAAACUCACUUGUAUGAAGCAUUACCCAUGUGAUUCAGCGAUAUUGAAGUACACCAGGGAAAUGUCCUUGGAAGCAUUUUCUUAUUACUCAAAUCACACAGGGCCCACAAGUUGUUUGUCAUACGGACAGUAGCCUUAUCUUCCAUGAAUUUAUCUGAUUCCCUUUCAAAGCCAUCCAGGUUGAUGGCAAAUUGCAAUCGCCACAUUCUCUGAUAACAAAUUCCAUAGUUAAACUGCACACUGUGUGUGUGAAUAAAUACUUCCUUCUGCUCCCAGCAUUCAGCUUCAUUGAAUAACCCCAGGUUCUAGGAUUAUGAGAGGGGGGGGAAACAGAACUUCCUGCCUACUUUCUCCACCCGCAUAACUUUCUGCCAGUCAUUUGGAAGACACAAGAGCUUCCCACACUGGAGGAAUGGCAGAUGAAACUGAUGGACUAUAUGGAACUGGCGGAAAUGACUGGUAGAAUCCGUGACCAGGGAGAAGAGUCGGUGGAGGAAGAUUGGAAGAAAUUCAAAGACUAUCUGCAGAAACAUUGCAAAAUUAAAGAAUGUUAGAGUGAUGUUGGAUUAAAAAUAAGUGGCUUCCAGCUGUUUAGGAUUUAAAAUUAUGGAUAGAUUAAGAUUAAGGAUUAGGAUUAAAAAAGUUUAAGGAAAUGGAAAUCUGGUUUUAAAAGGUAAAAUUUUAAUGUUAUAUUAUAUCAAGAGUUAAGAUUGGGAUUAAAAAAAGAGGGAAAGAAAUUGCUGGAUAAACAAUUUGAACUGGAAUACAAAAGAGGGAGGUACGAGGAGGUCCAGAAAAUAAGUAAAUUUAAAAAUGGAGACGAAAAGAUGAUACUGUUUGUAAUUGUUUUACUUUCUUUUUUGUCCUUUGUUUUUUUUGUUUCUUUAUUUUUCCUUUUUCUUUUAGAUUAUGUAUAGUAUAUUUUGAAUUGUGUAUUUCUUUUUUAUGUUUUAUGUUUAAUCUUUUAUUGAAACUUUAAUAAAUAUCAUUCAAAAAAACCAACAAAACUUUCUUCCAGUCAUGUGACAUCACAAUUAGGUCAUCUCGUUCUGUUCCCCCGUCUAAUGGGUUAGGAGAAGGUUGGCAAAGUGUAGGGGGCUCCGGGCUGUUCCCCCCCCCCCCGGGAGGUGGAGCUGUAGGCAGGGUUGGUGAGCAACAUGAGCGGGAUAGAGUUCCUAGUUAUUCUAUACAACUCUGGAGACAUGGUAAGGAAGAGCCAUCAGCCUACCAUUUAUUUAAGCUUUCUGUAAGAAAUUGUCUUAAGAACAUCCUGUUCUCAUUGAGCAACCAGAUGCCUCUGGAAAGCUCACAAGCAGGAUGUGAUCACAAUACCACCCUCUCAACGCUGUUGCCCAAUGCAAAGGCGUAAUACCUUUGAUCCUGUGAGUAGUAGCCACUGAUAGCUAUAUACACCAUGAAUUUGUUUAAUCCCCUUUUAGAGCUUCAAGGUGACAUCAGCAGAGUAACAUGCAAGAGCAAACACCCAGUCCAUCAGUUCACAGCUUCAGGGGAGAACCUCUGCUGGCUUACAUCUACAAAAAUCACCCAACUUCAGCCAUGCAACAUCUACCUGCUUCUUUUUAUAUUUUUUUAUUGCAUUUCACAAAACUAACAUUUUCUUUUUCUUUACAGAAGAACAAAGAACAGUUAAGUCCAACCUAGAAAGUUGUUGAAGAGAUGCAUACAUAAAAUGGGUAAGUACAACCGUAAUUCAAUUUAUACAUAUAUGCUAAUCAGGAAAUACAUAUUUCUUUUUUAGGUGCAGGUAAGAAGUCUUGUAAGUUGUCAGUUGGAACAUAAGAUAUAAAGUCCGACCAAAUCACAUGUACAUGUUCCACAGGUUCUUUGCCUCUGAUUACACCAAAUGUUGAAAGUUAAAUUUUUCAGCAAGAGACCAAAUAAUUUUGCACCACAAUGCAGGAGGAAAUUCAUGUUAAGUCUUCCAUUUUUGUGCUAUAGGUAGUAUUGCAACUGCCAGCCAUGAAGUUAAUAACUGUAUUAAAGAAAACUGUUUCAGAUUGUUAUCCCACACAUUUUUUAAUGCAAGUUGUGGGGUUGCCUGAUUUUCAGACUUUAAAAUUUGUGCAAUUUCUGUAAAUACCUCUUUCUUGUAACCAGGAUAGGCCUGGAUCUCCUGUAUUUAUUUUAAGUUGUUCUUUGGAUAACAGUUUGUCAUUAACAUGGAAAUCAUGGACUGUAAAUGGCGUUUCCCUGCCCCCCUCCCAUGAAAGGAUUGUACUACGCAAGGCUGAAUCCUGGACUUGAGGGUGAAAACUGUGGCAUUAGAGGCAAGUAUAACGGAGACU
rnacentral:lncRNA from 1 species